GAUGAAGAACGCAGCGAAAUGCGAUAAGUAAUGUGAAUUGCAGAAUUCAGUGAAUCAUCGAAUCUUUGAACGCACAUUGCGCCCCUUGGUAUUCCAUGGGGCAUGCCUGUUCGAGCGUCAUUUGUACCCUCCAGCCCUGCUGGGUAUUGGGCGUUUUGUUCCGCUACGCGCGUGAACUCGCCUCAAAUGCAUUGGCAGCCCGCCGUCCCGUGUGGGAGCGCAGCACAUUUUGCGCUCUCCGCUGCUGACGGUGGCAUCCACAAGUCUACCAUUUUACGCUUGACCUCGGAUCAGGUAGGGAUACCCGCUGAACUUAAGCAUAUCAAUAAGCGGAGGA
rnacentral:misc_RNA from 1 species